AGUGAACGCUGGCGGUAGGCCUAACACAUGCAAGUCGAACGGCAGCACAGUAAGAGCUUGCUCUUACGGGUGGCGAGUGGCGGACGGGUGAGGAAUACAUCGGAAUCUACUUUUUCGUGGGGGAUAACGUAGGGAAACUUACGCUAAUACCGCAUACGACCUACGGGUGAAAGCAGGGGAUCUUCGGACCUUGCGCGAUUGAAUGAGCCGAUGUCGGAUUAGCUAGUUGGCGGGGUAAAGGCCCACCAAGGCGACGAUCCGUAGCUGGUCUGAGAGGAUGAUCAGCCACACUGGAACUGAGACACGGUCCCGACUCCGACGGGAGGCAGCAGUGGGGAAUAUUGGACAAUGGGCGCAAGCCUGAUCCAGCCAUACCGCGUGGGUGAAGAAGGCCUUCGGGUUGGAAAGCCCUUUUGUUGGGAAAGAAAAGCAGCAGGUUAAUACCCCGCUGUUCUGACGGUACCCAAAGAAUAAGCACCGGCUAACUUCGUG
rnacentral:rRNA from 1 species